GCAGCACUGCGAGGCGACUGCUCGUUGAGUACGUAAGGAACCCCAUGAAAUGCCAGGAAGAGGAUUAGAAAGUAUAAGCUACAAGGCAAGGGGGGCAGAGACAGAGACAGCAGGGACCCAAGGUGGGAAAGCGCCAGAGACCUCUGCGGGCAGAAAGCGUUUGGAGGAGCCAGAGCUGGAUCCGCAGAACGGAGACGGUUACAACAAAGAGCCUGGGGAUCAGUCUGUCCGUGAGCCCGGGAAAGACUCCAGGACAGAGGAGGGCCAGCGCGGUGCGGGACGGAAGUGGCAGAAAUGCCUCUCAGGGCCGCUCACUGGCAAGGUUGAACUGGGAGCUGCUCACAAGCAAGCAGGAACUAGUCUGCCCGCCGCAGCCCAGCAUUGUGGCGCAGGGAGGACGACGGUCUGGGGGCUCGGCGAGCGCCCACACAGAGGCGGAUGUCAGAGAUGAGCCUGAAAGACUUGGGAGCGACGGCGUCUGGGAGGGGGACGGGGAGGUGGGCAGGGGAGGCGCAGGGGCUGCUGUGCCUUCGGAGACAAGGUCAAGCACAGCAGACCCCCCUCGUUAGUGCCUUUGCUUUUCUUGGUUUUAAUUACUUGUGGUCGGUCA
rnacentral:lncRNA from 1 species